GUAAUAAAUUAAGGGUAGACCAGGAUGAAGUUCGGUAAACUUUUUAUACGGGUUUUACAUUUUUUUCUAUUUUGGCGGAUGAAGACAAUUCUAUUCCCAAGUCACCCUUAAGUGUCCAUAAAUUCAGCAGCACCCAUACAUAUAUAUAUACCUACUUUCCAAUCUUUUAAAACAAAUAAAAGAAAGAAUAAGACAAAAUGAUACACAUUCUCAAACGCCUAUUUUAUCGGUAAUAAUACUUGAGGGUCUUGUUGGAGUUGACAGAAUAUCAAAUCACGCGACUGGGAAACGCAGAAUAAAGGACAAAACAUAUAGCAUAUACAAAAAAAAUAUAAAGAAUAGAAAAUAAAAGGAUGAUCAAAUAGAGAAUAAUGAGCAAAAUUAUAAAGAAUAGAAAAAAUGUUUUAAAAAUUAAAAGAAUACAAAAUCGAUGGACCAUCCAUCCAGAC
rnacentral:lncRNA from 1 species